GCAGUGGCUCAAUUGGCUAGAGCACCGGUCUCCAAAACCGGCGGUUGAGGGUUCGAGUCCCUCCUGCC
rnacentral:tRNA from 1 species